UGGGGAAUAUUGGACAAUGGGCGCAAGCCUGAUCCAGCCAUGCCGCGUGUGUGAAGAAGGCCUUCGGGUUGUAAAGCACUUUUGUUGGGGAAGAAAAGCACGGGGCUAAUACCUUCGUGUUCUGACGGUACCCAAAGAAUAAGCACCGGCUAACUUCGUGCCAGCAGCCGCGGUAAUACGAAGGGUGCAAGCGUUACUCGGAAUUACUGGGCGUAAAGCGUGCGUAGGUGGUGCGUUAAGUCUGUCGUGAAAGCCCCGGGCUCAACCUGGGAAUGGCGAUGGAUACUGGCGCGCUAGAGUGCGGUAGAGGAGAGUGGAAUUCCCGGUGUAGCAGUGAAAUGCGUAGAGAUCGGGAGGAACAUCAGUUGCGAAGGCGGCUCUCUGGACCAGCACUGACACUGAGGCACGAAAGCGUGGGGAGCAAACA
rnacentral:rRNA from 1 species